GUAGCUCAGUAGUAGAGCCCCCGCCUCGCAGGCGGGCGGACCUGGGUUCGAUUCCCGGC
rnacentral:tRNA from 1 species